GAUGAAGAACGUAGCGAAAUGCGAUAAGUAAUGUGAAUUGCAGAAUUCAGUGAAUCAUCGAAUCUUUGAACGCACAUUGCGCCCCUUGGUAUUCCGAGGGGCAUGCCUGUUCGAGCGUCAUUAUAACCCCUCAAGCUCAGCUUGGUGUUGGGGCCUGCUGCACUGGCAGCCCUUAAAAUCAGUGGCGGCGCCAUCUGGCUCUAAGCGUAGUAAUUCUUCUCGCUAUGGAGUCCUGGUGGAUGCUUGCCAUCAACCCCCAAUUUUUCUAUGGUUGACCUCGGAUCAGGUAGGGAUACCCCUGAACUUAAGCAUAUCAAUAAGCGGAGGA
rnacentral:misc_RNA from 1 species